CAGGAAACGUCACCAAAUUCAGUUUCCUCUUCAUGCUGCAAUAACAACCACCACAUCUUCAGGACCUGCAUAUGCAUCUUGUUUCAGUGCUAAGUAGUGCAGUUAGUAACUACUGCUUGUGUCAUAGCUGUAAAAGAUCCUUCAUGCCUGAAACUUUGAAUGGUGGCAGAUGUGGACAUAUAUGUAAGAGCACUGAGUUUUUACAGCCAUGUCUGUAACUGUCUUGUCUCAACUCUUCCCAAGAUAUAAUAACCUGAUCUAACAAGUCAGUGGUGUAAUUUUUCCCCUGUAUCAUCAGAAAGAUGUGUUGUCUGGGGCAAUGUUGUAGCUUCAAGUGAUGACUAAGAAUAUUCACCACCUCUUUAGAUUAGGUUCAUAAUUGGGAGGAUUUUGACUCCCACAGUUGACAGCAGCUUUUAGUUUUACUGUAAACUGACUUAGUACCUUUCUGGCCUAGUUUUAGUUGUCAGUAAAGUCAUUCUUUGCAGUUGUCUUCCUAUUUUCUCAAUAGCCUUAGCUAUGUAAGGAUCCGUGCCAGCAGCUGUGGCUAUCAGCUGCUAUGUUUCUAGUGACUUUGCUGCUGCAGACUGUAACCGGGGAAAUACUGAAAACCUCUUGAUAAACUUAAUGGCAUGAUGUGAUGUGGCUUUUUCUUCAGAUGGCACCAUGUCUUGAACGUCAGCAUCUGCUGCCAGUGAAUACACCCACUUGCACUGGACAUGAGUCACCAAUAGCUCCACAGCUGCAGCCCCAAACCAGCAUCUGCGUACAGAAGUGAGGGGAGAUCUCAGGAUUUAAGGCAGCCACAGCGCUCUGCUGCCAGCUCAGCCAGAACAACUCACACACCAAGUCCAAAGCAGCCACUCUGGGGAAGUCACUUGAGGUGUUCUUGGCAACUCCUAAAGUACCCCAAGAUCACCAUUGCCACCCAUCUCGUUCCAUGCUCCUGUGUCCACAGGCAUCGCUGGCACCAAGACACCAGGACAGGAACCACCAGAGGAGCUGCUGUUGCCUCCUCCACCGGUAGCUUGUGUUACAUGGGGCAGCUGUCAUCUACCAGUGACUCUGGUGAUGGGUUCCGUGGAGUUCCAUGGCCUUACACACGUGAACACAGGGAGUUCCAGAAUCAGCCACCCCUCUGGUCCCCAUGUCCCCAUGUUCACUGUGAUGGUUGGGUCCAUGGGAUGCUCUGGAGGUGCUCCAGGCAUUCUCUGGGAUUCUCUAGGGGUAUCCCUGGGAUGCUCUGUGGGUGUUGAGGAUGCACUGGAGGUGCUUUAGGGGUCAAAGCAGCCCAAAUCCCACCCAAAUAUGGCAAACUGGGGUUUUAUUGUUUGUUUUUUUUUUACUCCAAUCUUGCCAAGAGCAGGGAGCAUUUACUCAGUCCUGACACUCACUAAAUAGAAUUUCCCUCCUUCUUAUCAAAUCUAUAUUAAAUCUCUGGUAAAUCCAGGGAGAGCUGCCUCUCUGCAUGCCUUGAAUCAGCAAUACACCCGCUGCCAGACGGCUAUCAUUCUGAGCAACCUGUGACAGUGUCCCACCACCCUCACAGGGAAGAACUUCCUCCUAAGGUCUCAUCUCAUUCACCCCCCUCUGUCAACUUAAAGCCGUUCCCAGUUGUCUGAUCACUACAUGCCUUUGUAAAGAAUUCGCCUCCACCUUUCUUGUAAAAAUCAAUCAGAUACUGGAAGGCAAACUCAUUGUCUAAGUCAUCAUCUAAAUUAUCAUUUACAUCAUCUUCAAAUCAUUGGGAAUUAACAGUUGAAUUAAAAUUCAGUUAUUGCUAAAUCA